GUGAGGAAUAUUGGUCAAUGGGCGAGAGCCUGAACCAGCCAAGUCGCGUGAAGGAUGAAGGUUUUAUGAAUUGUAAACUUCUUUUGCAGGGGAAUAAAGUACGGUACGUGUACCGUUUUGUAUGUACUCUGCGAAUAAGGAUCGGCUAACUCCGUGCCAGCAGCCGCGGUAAUACGGAGGAUCCAAGCGUUAUCCGGAUUUAUUGGGUUUAAAGGGUGCGCAGGCGGGUUGAUAAGUCAGCGGUGAAAGUUUGCAGCUUAACUGUAAAAUUGCCGUUGAAACUGUCGAUCUUGAGUGCAAAUGAGGUAAGCGGAAUGUGUUGUGUAGCGGUGAAAUGCUUAGAUAUAACACAGAACACCGAUUGCGAAGGCAGCUUACUGGGAUGCAACUGACGCUCAUGCACGAAAGCGUGGGGAUCAAACAGGAUUAGAAACCCUGGUAGUCC
rnacentral:rRNA from 1 species